rnacentral:rRNA from 1 species
UACGUAGGGGGCGAGCGUUGUCCGGAAUUAUUGGGCGUAAAGAGCUUGUAGGCGGUCUGUCGCGUCUGCUGUGAAAAUCCGGGGCUCAACCCCGGACUUGCAGUGGGUACGGGCAGACUAGAGUGUGGUAGGGGAGACUGGAAUUCCUGGUGUAGCGGUGAAAUGCGCAGAUAUCAGGAGGAACACCGGUGGCGAAGGCAGGUCUCUGGGCCACUACUGACGCUGAGACGCGAAAGCGUGGGGAGCAAACAGG